UAAACUAAUCUCUAUAGAAUUGAUAUUUUUCAUUUCUUAAUAUUGCGUAUGCAGGUUCAGGGCUUCCAGAUUAUAAGAAUUGUUUGAUUAAAUAUGCACAGCAAUCAACUGUAGCGUUACCUGUUUAUGAGACUGUUCAUGAAGGGUUUAGAUGUACUGUCUAUUUGGAUGGAGAAGCUUAUAGGUCGGUUAACACAUUUGGGAAUCCAGAAGAUGCAGAGCAGGAUGCCUCGAAACUGGCCUUAGAGUCUAUUGCGAAGAAGAUAAAACAAGAAAGUAUUUCCAUAAUUAACAAGGACUCGGUAUAUUGCAAAUCCAUCCUCAAUGAGUAUGCAGCCAAGAUGAAACUGCCAUUACCUACAUAUACAACCACCCGACUGGACCUUCUUGCCUUCAUCUCUUCUGUAGUAUUUGAUGGAAAAACUUACAUUGGUCAUCUUUCCAAAAAUAAGAAAGACGCAGAACAAUUAGCAGCUCGCGAGGUUAUCAAUUCUAUACCAGGUAUAUAUGUGUGCUAUAAAAAAUCUAUUAGUUUGUGUGGAUGGUUCCAUAUUCUUUCUUUCUGUUGCUUAAUAGUUGUCCUUAUUUUGUUUGAAUUUUGUGCAAAAUUCAAUGUCUUCUUCAAGUGUUUGCAUUUUUUUUGACUUGCCAUCAUGAUCAGAGAUAUAAAUGUUUAGAUAGAUGGAUAUAAUGUAUCUAGACUUGGUUAACAAAUAUCAAGUCGUUGUAGUAUAGUGGUAAGUAUUCCCGUCUGUCACUCGGGUGACCCGAGUUCGAUCCCCGGCAGCGGCGUUUUUCAUUUAGGCUUGGGCUGUGUGGUCACUGAAGUGAAGGGUACUGCGUUAGGCUGGUUUCACAGAGCAGCGGUACCUCCCUCUCCUGACAGUGGAAAGAUAACAUUGCGAAAAACUACUACUUUGUUUGAAUAAUCUCACAUUGCGAAGGUUCCUUCUACAAGCUUGUGAAAAAAGUUGGGCCUUCCUGAGCUUCGCCAAAAUACUGACCAUGGUACUUCUGAUUCAGGGACUUAUCUUUCAGAAAUUAUCAGAUCUACAAGCAUGCUGUCUAAUGCAUCUCAUGUAGUUGAGGUGCCUCAGACUGCCUAGGAUACUUACGGGACAACGGUGACAAUCCCAGGGUGUAACAGUGGGGCAUCUACAAGGAAAAGGAGCGGACCCACAGGGAAAAGGAAACAAAUUCUGAACCCUUCUCCACCGACGCUAUCGGACACAGUAGGUUGCAAGUCUAUUCUCAAUGAGUACGCUGUCAAGAUGAAUCUGUCAAAACCUGUUUAUACAACGACCCAACUAGAGCGUGUUCCCUUCUUCAUCUCUUCAUUAGUAUUUUACGGUAAAACUUACACUGGUCCUCCUGCCAGCAACAAGAAAGAUGCAGAACGGUUGGCAGCUCGCAAGGCUAUCUAUUCUACAGGUAUAUAUAAAGCCUGUGCAUAAACUGGAUAAAAUUAUCGGAUAUCUUAUGUCGUGGAAAAGGAACGAAUUUGUGAGAUUCAACCAAUUUGGAGUCCCGACCAGUUUUUCAGCUUUACAAUGAACCUGCUUCAGUUUGUUUUCUGUUUUAACUAUUAAAUAGUUGCCUUUCUCUAAGAAUUACUCCAUGCAUUCUCACAGUUUUCACAUUUUCAGAAAGAUCUUCAGUUUCAUACAUAAUUCGAAAAUUGUUCUAUAUAGGAAUCAUCAAAAAAAAAAAAAAAAAAAAA